UUUGGGGCGACUGCAGUCGAGCGGUCAGGAGAAGCUUGCUUCUCGCUGACGAGCGGCGGACGGGUGAGUAAUACUUAGGAAUCUACCUAGUAGUGGGGGAUAGCUCGGGGAAACUCGAAUUAAUACCGCAUACGACCUACGGGAGAAAGGGGGCAACUUGUUGCUCUCGCUAUUAAUGAGCCUAAGUCGGAUUAGCUAGAUGGUGG
rnacentral:rRNA from 1 species